CGCUAGCGGCAGGCUUAACACAUGCAAGUCGAGGGGUAUAGUUCUUCGGAAUUAGAGACCGGCGCACGGGUGCGUAACGCGUAUGCAAUCUACCUUUCACAGAGGGAUAGCCCAGAGAAAUUUGGAUUAAUACCUCAUAGUAUAGCAGUUUCGCAUGAAACCACUAUUAAAGUCACAACGGUGAAAGAUGAGCAUGCGUCCCAUUAGCUAGUUGGUAAGGUAACGGCUUACCAAGGCAACGAUGGGUAGGGGUCCUGAGAGGGAGAUCCCCCACACUGGUACUGAGACACGGACCAGACUCCUACGGGAGGCAGCAGUGAGGAAUAUUGGACAAUGGGCGCAAGCCUGAUCCAGCCAUGCCGCGUGCAGGAUGACGGUCCUAUGGAUUGUAAACUGCUUUUAUACAGGAAGAAACACUACUUCGUGAAGUAGCUUGACGGUACUGUAAGAAUAAGGAUCGGCUAACUCCGUG
rnacentral:rRNA from 1 species